CGCCCUGGCUGUCGCACAAAGAGCAGGAAAUGGCUGCGGCCCGGGGCUCCGGGUGCUCCCCUCUACGCGGCCGACGCGUCCCGGACCUGCAGCCCCGGCUCCCGCCCCAGGAGAACCAGCCGCGCCGCUUAGGGAGCAUUUGUCCCCAGGCUCCCCAAGGCCCCCCAGGCCUGGGAACUACACCUGCAGCCGUGGGAGAAUUGAAGCCUUGGGCUCCAUUCGCAUCUCAUUGAUCUCACAUUAUCUCCAAGUGCUCAUUUAUCUACUUAAUGUUUGUCGAGCACCUAUUUUGUUCCAAGCCCGGUGCCAGGAGCUGAGUAUGCACUGGUGUACAGAAGACAGGGUUCCUGCCCUUUCGGAGCUCAUCACCUACCAGGAGAGAUGGGCAUAAAUUUACCUAGCAAACGUCCAGUUCCAGCUGGGAGACGUUCUGUGAAGGAGACGGACAGGGUGAGGUGAUAGAAAAUAAACCUGAGGGCUGGGGAGAGGGGGCUUCCAGCAAUGGAGUUGGAGCCCAAAUGCUGCUCCUCUGGUCAAGAAUACCUGCUCGCCCUCCUUGUCAAUUCCUUGAGGCCGAGCCCCUGAAGCUGCCAUCUCUUAAGCAGGGACCUGCCUCAAUUUCUUUCAAGGUAAAUUAAUUGCCUAGUGGACAAAAAGACAAAUACAUGGUGACAGGAAGUGUUUCCUGGCAAAGCCCGGGAAGGAACUGAGAGAGUAGGCAUCUUUCUCUUCAAGACUUACCUGCUAGGUAGGGCUCUCGGAAGAAAUGGUUUUCCCUUUGAGAUGCAGCCACGUGGGCCUUCAGACCUGGCUGAAGUCAGAAAGCACCAAAUUCUCGCUUUGGGAUCCCUGAGCAGGACCCUUCACCGCUCUGUUCCUGAGAUGCCGCCAUACUUAAUGUGUGGAAUAAUUGUUGCCUUUCAUACUCCACAAGAUUUGUGCAAUCACUGAAAUCACCUUCUGGAGAUGAUUCUGGAGACUAUUCCAGGGCACAGAUACCAGCCUUCCUGAGUAUGGACCACAGGGCUAAUGCAGAGAAUCACUGUCUUCUAAACUAGGUGUUUCAUAGACAGUAGAUCAUAUGGAGGCUUGAGUGUCGGCGGGAGCCCAGCUCGAAGGCAACUCAGUCCCAUAGGAAUGAAGUGGAGAGAACUUGUGGUGAAAGUUUCAAGCAAAAAUGCACAGGUAGCUUUGAGAAUAUUAUCUACAAAAGGUUUAUCUGUGUGAAGGAAGGACGGGAGGGUAAGACAGGGUGGAGGGUAAUAGACAACGGAGUUGCUUGCUUCUCCUAAAAACAGGUGGGAGGGGGCAGUGCACCUGCUGGUUUCUGCGUGUGCCUCUCUGACCCAAAUCUUAACGUUCCAAACUCCUGGGUCCUCCUCUUCCUCUUUCAAGGCUGCACCAUGAACUGCUGCCUCCACGGAGUCUUAGUUACUUACUCCUGCCCCCAGGAAUCUCCUGUUUGAAGUCUUACAUCACUUGCUUUGUUCUCUGCUCUUUUGGCGUUGAGCCUUGUUCUGUUAGGGUCCAUUUGUGUAACUCUAAGCUCUCUAUCUGUUUCUGUACCUCAUGUCUUUCCUCCCUCCCUCCUUCCCACUUUCCCUUCUUUUCUUUCUUCUACAGAGAAUGAAUGAGUAGUAUGUACCAGGCACUGUUGUAGACACUGGUGAUGCCAUCUUUAGCAAACUGGGCACCAGCCCUUGUAAAGGCUAUAACUGAAUGGAGGAUGGAGUGGGGUAAUAAUGUUAGUAUAUUAAUCACAUUAAUAAAUAGGUAAUUAUACUCUGAAGAAAGGGUAUGUGCUGUUGCGGCAGAGUGUAAGAAAAGGUGGUGACCUAGUGUAGGGAGAUCAAGGAAGGCUUCCCCAAGCAAGUGACAUUUAAAAUGGAGAUCUUAAAGUUGAUGAAAGUCUCAGCUUUCUCAGUGAGAUGGGAGAAAAUGGAACAUGAACUGAGAUGGGGAGACCAUGUGAUGGAUUCCGGUGUCCACUCUCAGGGUAAAGGGAGAACCACUGAAGGGACAUGCCCGCUUCUGAUGAGGGUCAUUGGGCCGUGAUCACAGUCACCGGGUGAGAAGCUCACAUGGGCUUCUGAGGGGUGCUGGGUAGAGUGGGUGCAGGGGGACCAUCAGGAGGUGGUAGCGAUGCUGGCAGCUUCCAUGAGGAAGGGGACUCUAGGAAAUGGAGAGAAGUGGGGAGAUUCUAGAGGAACUUGAGCGGCAAAGCUUGCCAAGGCCCCCAUUUCUUUUUGGACACAAGAUGGGGGCUCCCAGAAGUGAAUGAAGACAAAGAUUUGUCCUGGAAUAUAUGGCUCGUAACAUACUUCCUUGCAGAAGACCCAUGUGACAGGGGUUGCUGAUUUUCAGGACUGCCCUUUACAUGGAGGACUCUAGAGCAAGAAGGCAUUGCACCCUUUGUGAUAACCCAGUGGAACCCCAGUUGCCUGUGGGCAGCAACUGUUAAUAGUCAUCAGAACCAUUCAUCAGGGAGGCUGUGUGGGCUCCGGAGACAUAUGGGAGUUAUCUAAGUCCUCGUUGUCUCAGUUACAUGCUCUGUAAAUUAGGGUGAGAGUACUUCCUAACUCACAGGGUGGUUGUAAGGAUUAGAGGAAAUAAUUCAUUUUGCACAGUGACUAGCACAUAGUAAGUACUCAGUAAAUAUUAGUUACUAUUGUUAUUAGAAUCAUGGUGGCCUCCAUCUCAGUAAAAGGAAACAAGAUCAAGAAGGAAUGUUUGAUCAUUUUAAAACACGUAAACACCUUCACAGAGGGUCCUACAGGAUUAAGCAGCCUAUGCAAAGCCACAGGCUCUUAAGUGAUGGAGCUGGUCUUUGACCCAGAUCUUUCUGACACCAAAAGCUAUGUUUUUGACCACUAUGCAAUAAUGCUGCCAAAAACAAGGAAAGGGGACCAUCUCCCCACCCACCAUCUUUAAUUUAGGAAGCGUACAUGCUGUAAGAGAUGUUUUAGCUGCUAGCUCAGACUGUGGGCUAAGGGGAAGCAGAGUGGUGGCCCUUAUCCCAACACUGACCACAAGGGUGACCUUGACUGUUCCUCCUGCCCCAUGUAAAUGGUAAUAGCACCCACACCAUGUGAGCACAGUGAACUUGAUUCCUAAGGUGCAAAGAGUCAUUAAACCUUUCCACUUCUCCCAGGGGCCUUUCAGAAGAUAAGAUGGUCCUAUCAGUACCAAGCUCAUAACAUACUUUUCUCAUGAAAUGCUCAGCAUUGCUUGAGGUAGGCAGUAUUUGGAUCCUUACUUUGCAAAUAGGAAAUAGAGGCUUAAAGAGAUUGAGUGUCUUGCCUGA